rnacentral:lncRNA from 1 species
GUAUUCCAGCCGAGAGAUCGAGGAGAAGUCUUCUGGAAUACGGAACUGCUUAGCAUAGAACAAACCAGCUUUCUAUUAUUACACGAAUAUGAUUACAAGGUCUCCGAUAUUACAAUGAAUAACAUCGGCACAGCGACACUACGCCAUCCUCAGUUGCUCUAUGCAAGCAGUAGAACAACUCGAAGCAGCGGAAUAACUCUGGCAACGAUAGUGGUGAACUCCACUCAGCAGGGACUCUGGCUGGAACGCUUAUCCUAGCUCACAAACAAAGAAUCCACGGCAAACAAGCAUGCAAUCCAGGCACGACCUGCAAGCUGGCAUGACACGCCAGGUCAGUACAUUGAAUGUAAUUGCAAGCUCACAAAUAACCAGAAGCAUUCAAGACAAACAACAGCAUGGCAAUUACAGAUUAAUCAGGGAUUAUCAUGAGGUCAUCAGGAUAACAUGGCAUGAACACCAUGAACAAAAUACUGCUAGGACAAUAUGAGCAUGGCAUGAACAUAAAAAUCUGAUGAUACUAGCAUGCAACAUGAAGACACUACAUGCACCAUUUAUUCUGCUCGGGUUACCUCAUAUCACAUGCAUCACUUACCAACCUCGGACAUCACACGAUCAUCUCAGGAUCAAAUCAAGCUUGGUAUAAACAAUAUCGUAGUAAUCAUUAAAUGACCACAAGGAGCUUGAUCUUUACCCACGAUUCUCGCACAAUAUCACGAAUAUCCAACAACUCGGUAUCCUCGAUACCACGGUGAUCAUUCCGGCGAUCACAACCAUGACCAACACUUGGUCUCAAACGGUGAUCUUUCCGGCGAUCACAACCAACUUAUCUCAUCGUCGAACCGGGGUUGUCAUUAAUCAAGUUUAAUACUGUUGACUCACGGUGGGACCGACAUGAACUGGGCCCUUAUCCGCGGGCGCGGCUAUCGAUAGAUUUAAUAUACACUCUGCAGAGGUUAGUACACUAUACCCACACUACGGAACCCAUGGCCUCGCACUCCCAUUCGGGUGGACCAACGCCGUUCCGACAAAACCGAUCUACUGCCAUGACGCUCUCCCGGCCACUCCGACUCACUCCCCAUUGGGCUAGUCCUGGGUGGCCCCGUGUCUACCAAAGACACAACAACCACCAUCGUGGUCCGUCCCAACAGGGACAAAAGCGCUUAUCAUCCAAUCUACGGGCACACAAGGUUAUGUCCGCCUACCUGAUCAGGGUAAGCACGCCCAUAACCUUCCCUAGUUGGAGGCACCGGCGAGAGGCACGACAAUAGACCCAGUUAGGACCUCCCCAUAAGGUAAGCGUGGUUGCACUGGUUAGUUUCGAUAUGGUGGCACCAUGACUCAGCCAACAGUUGUUCAAGUUUAAUUUAAUCCGGUUAAACUUGAAUGCAAUAUGCUGAGCCAUGAUAAAAUAACAUGAUGCAUUUACAAAGCAGGAGCAUGAUAUCAACAUAAUCACGGGAUGCAACAUAACUAUCCACCACAUCAACUACGAAUAAUCUCCAACUGAACAUGGCAUAAUGACGAGCAUAAAUAUUACAAGUGCAACACUACUCAUAGUAUAACAUGACCUCUAGCAUCAACCAUAAAUACCAUGCAAGAACAUAACAACAAUGCAAGCAUUUAACCAACGGGAUGCAAUGAAACAUGUAUAACAACGGUACUCGGGACAGACGGCAGCUAUGCACCGAAGACCAUCACCAACAUCAACAGGUACUACUAGCAAGCAUAAGCAUAUGAUAGGAAUACUAGCAACUAGCAGGGCAUGAUAACCACGUGCAUAACAACAUAGCAAGCAAGCAAGUAAUAACCCAGAAGCAUUACCGAAACAACGAUAACCAUAUUUUAAACAAGCAAUCUUUUAAUAAAUAUUCAAGUUGAAAACCAUGGCUACUACAUGACUAUCAUGCAAGUGGGUAUUGUGGCUUGC